AUGCUCCAUAUUCCUUCCCCAUUAGAUCUAAACCAUGGUCUGAGUGGCUAUGCAAAGAGAAAAGUCAAACUCACAUGGACUUGGAUUCUUUUGUGACACACAAGUUAGUUUCAAACAAAU
rnacentral:snoRNA from 1 species